GACGAACGCUGGCGGCGUGCUUAACACAUGCAAGUCGAACGGAAAGGCCCUGCUUGCAGGGUCCUCGAGUGGCGAACGGGUGAGUAACACGUGGGUGAUCUGCCCUGCACUUCGGGAUAAGCCUGGGAAACUGGGUCUAAUACCGGAUAGGAGCCAUUUUUAGUGUGAUGGUUGGAAAGUUUUUUUCGGUGUAGGAUGAGCUCGCGGCCUAUCAGCUUGUUGGUGGGGUAAUGGCCUACCAAGGCGGCGACGGGUAGCCGGCCUGAGAGGGUGGACGGCCACAUUGGGACUGAGAUACGGCCCAGACUCCUACGGGAGGCAGCAGUGGGGAAUAUUGCACAAUGGGCGCAAGCCUGAUGCAGCGACGCCGCGUGGGGGAUGACGGCCUUCGGGUUGUAAACUCCUUUCGCUAGGGACGAAGCUUUUUGUGACGGUACCUAGAUAAGAAGCACCGGCUAACUACGUG
rnacentral:rRNA from 1 species